rnacentral:rRNA from 1 species
UGCAGUCGAACGAGAGAUGAGGAGCUUGCUCUUCAAAUCGAGUGGCGAACGGGUGAGUGACGCGUGAGGAACCUGCCUCAAAGAGGGGGACAACAGUUGGAAACGACUGCUAAUACCGCAUAAGCCCACGGCUCGGCAUCGAGCAGGGGGAAAAGGAGCAAUCCGCUUUGAGAUGGCCUCGCGUCCGAUUAGCUAGUUGGUGAGGUAAUGGCCCACCAAGGCGACGAUCGGUAGCCGGACUGAGAGGUUGAACGGCCACAUUGGGACUGAGACACGGCCCAGACUCCUACGGGAGGCAGCAGUGGGGAAUAUUGCACAAUGGGGGAAACCCUGAUGCAGCGACGCCGCGUGGAGGAAGAAGGUCUUCGGAUUGUAAACUCCUGUUGUUGAGGAAGAUAAUGACGGUACUCAACAAGGAAGUGACGGCUAACUACGUGCCAGCAGCCGCGGUAAAACGUAGGUCACAAGCGUUGUCCGGAAUUACUGGGUGUAAAGGGAGCGCAGGCGGGAGAACAAGUUGGAAGUGAAAUCCAUGGGCUCAACCCAUGAACUGCUUUCAAAACUGUUUUUCUUGAGUAGUGCAGAGGUAGGCGGAAUUCCCGGUGUAGCGGUGGAAUGCGUAGAUAUCGGGAGGAACACCAGUGGCGAAGGCGGCCUACUGGGCACCAACUGACGCUGAGGCUCGAAAGUGUGGGUAGCAAACAGGAUUAGAUACCCUGGUAGUCCACACUGUAAACGAUGAAUGCUAGGUGUAGGGGGUAUCGACCCCUUCUGUGCCGCAGUCAACACAAU